ACUAUUGGUGGAAAUGGUUAAUGCACUUGACUGCUAACCAAAAGCUUGGUGGUUUGAAUCCACCCAAAGGUG
rnacentral:tRNA from 1 species